rnacentral:rRNA from 1 species
AUGGCUCAGAGUGAACGCUGGCGGCAGGCCUAAUACAUGCAAGUCGAACGGCAGCACAGCAGAGCUUGCUCUGUGGGUGGCGAGUGGCGGACGGGUGAGGAAUACAUGGGAAUCUGCCCAGUCGUGGGGGAUAACGUAGGGAAACUUACGCUAAUACCGCAUGCGCCCUUCGGGGAAAGCCGGGGACCUUCGGGCCUGGCGCGAUUGGAUGAGCCCAUGUCGGAUUAGCUAGUUGGCGGGGUAAUGGCCCACCAAGGCGACGAUCCGUAGCUGGUCUGAGAGGAUGAUCAGCCACACUGGAACUGAGACACGGUCCAGACUCCUACGGGAGGCAGCAGUAGGGAAUAUUGGACAAUGGGCGCAAGCCUGAUCCAGCCAUGCCGCGUGAGUGAAGAAGGCCCUCGGGUUGUAAAGCUCUUUUGUCCGGAAAGAAAAGCGCCGGGUUAAUACCCUAGUGUCCUGACGGUACCGGAAGAAUAAGCACCGGCUAACUUCGUG